AUUUUCUUAGUAUAAAUAGUAUAUUUGACUUCCAAUCAAAAGGUCUAAAUUUUAGAGAAAAUA
rnacentral:tRNA from 1 species